rnacentral:rRNA from 1 species
GACGAACGCUGGCGGCGUGCCUAAUACAUGCAAGUCGAGCGGACGAAUCGAAAGCUUGCUUUUGAUUCGUUAGCGGCGGACGGGUGAGUAACACGUGGGCAACCUGCCCUGUAGACGGGGAUAACACCGAGAAAUCGGCGCUAAUACCGGAUAACACGAAAUGUCGCAUGACGUUUCGUUGAAAGACGGCGCAAGCUGUCGCUACAGGAUGGGCCCGCGGCGCAUUAGCUAGUUGGUGAGGUAACGGCUCACCAAGGCGACGAUGCGUAGCCGACCUGAGAGGGUGAUCGGCCACACUGGGACUGAGACACGGCCCAGACUCCUACGGGAGGCAGCAGUAAGGAAUCUUCCGCAAUGGACGAAAGUCUGACGGAGCAACGCCGCGUGAGCGAAGAAGGCCUUCGGGUCGUAAAGCUCUGUUGUUAGGGAAGAACAAGUAACGCAGUAACUGGCGUUACCGUGACGGUACCUAACGAGAAAGCCACGGCUAACUACGUG